CCCAGCCCGGGGUCCCCACCAAGCCCGGCCCAGGUCCUCACCGCGCUGGGGGCCGGGAGGCUGAGCAGGACUGGACCUGACUCACAGGAGCUCGGUCCCCCGCCCCAGCCAGCCCCUGCCAAGACAUGGUCCCUCGUCAGCCUGGCCACCAUCCACAAGAAGAGGAGAAGCCUCCUAGAGCCAGACAUGGCCCAGAAAAUGAGGGAACACUGAGG
rnacentral:lncRNA from 1 species